GUUUUAAAGUGCUGGUCUUUUCAGGCGUGGGAGUGACUCCAUCAUGUGACUAAUUAGUCAGCAGUGCAGUCAAAAAGUUGCAAGGUGCUAGAAGAAAGCACCGGGGAGAAAAUUAUGAGAGGCAGCGUAAUUUCAUUUAGUAGAGAAGUAUCUCUGACCUGGUGAAGUACAACUCUCUUCUCCGUGGUUGUAAAGUGAAGACUGUAAUAGCCCUACCCUACUAUGAAUCUGUAGAGGGGAAUAAACAAGAUCAUGAGUGAUUGUAUCUACUCAUUGCUGUUCAAUGCUUCCAUUCAAUCUCUCACAUGAUCACCUGCCAUCUGAUGUAGACAUCACUGUUAUUCCCAUUUUCAAGAUAUGAAGGCUGAGGCUCAAUUGGUUUUGUAAGUUUCCCAGUCUCAUCUAUUUAAUAAUCAGUGGGAUCCAAACCCAAGUCCAUCUUAGUUGAAAUAAACCCUGUGAUCAUAGUAAUGACUUUGGCGUGCAGCCAAAUUAUAGGGCAGAUGGGGCUUUGGGGGAGAGUCAGCUGGUCUAAUCCUUUCUUGUUACUGAUUUGGAAACAAGAUCACACUGACACAAAACCGUGCAGCAAAUUAAAGAGCCGCCUCAUCACAGCAGGUCCUGUGCUACAUCUACGUUUGCUUGUACCUUAAAAAAAUGAAUAAUAACUUCAUUGAGAAUGUGGAUUCAUGUUUUCCAGGGGCGCCGUCACCAAAGAAUUUCAGAGUUUUUUGUACUUAAAAGAACUGCUCAUUAUGGAUUUCUGAGAAAAAUCACCUACAGGAGUACACUGUUUUUAAUGUUACUAAGCUGUGUGAUUCACAUCAGAACAUGGGACAAUAGAUGCAUGGUGAACAGAAUGCAUUCAUCAAAAGCAGAGACUUUCAACAGGGUACCAUGUGGCUAAUGCACUUUUACUAUGAGCAAAGGAAGAUACUAGCAUUCAAAAUUUUAAGACAAAACUACUGAAUUCAUUUUGUUUAACUUCUGAGGAUGAAUCUCUCUGAAGCAUCAAUCUGAUAAUCUCAUAAAUGGAAAGUAUAUCAGGAGUGCACGGAUUAAAGAACAUCAGAAAUGAUGAUGCUUACAGACUAAUUAACUUUUCACUAUGAGGUGGGUUACUGCAUGCUGACUUUUAAUAUAUGGAUUAUUUUCAGUAACGGGGAUCAUGUCCAAUUAACUGGCUUUAAGAAGACUGGGUUCUUCUGAUCAGGCCCGUAUUCCUAUGACCCAAGAGUAUCAGCCUUUCCUUUCUUGGCUUGUAGAAACAGCUCAGAUAUUCAGAG
rnacentral:lncRNA from 1 species